rnacentral:rRNA from 1 species
ACGUAGUUUGACUCUGGCUCAGGACGAACGCUGGCGGCGUGCUUAACACAUGCAAGUCGAACGGAAAGGCCCUGCGUUUUGUGGGGUGCUCGAGUGGCGAACGGGUGAGUAACACGUGAGUAACCUGCCCUUGACUUUGGGAUAACUUCAGGAAACUGGGGCUAAUACCGGAUAGGAGCUCCUGCUGCAUGGUGGGGGUUGGAAAGUUUCGGCGGUUGGGGAUGGACUCGCGGCUUAUCAGCUUGUUGUGGGGUAGUGGCUUACCAAGGCUUUGACGGGUAGCCGGCCUGAGAGGGUGACCGGCCACAUUGGGACUGAGAUACGGCCCAGACUCCUACGGGAGGCAGCAGUGGGGAAUAUUGCACAAUGGGCGGAAGCCUGAUGCAGCAACGCCGCGUGCGGGAUGACGGCCUUCGGGUUGUAAACCGCUUUCGCCUGUGACGAAGCGUGAGUGACGGUAAUGGGUAAAGAAGCACCGACUAACUACGUG